rnacentral:rRNA from 1 species
UACGUAGGGGGCGAGCGUUGUCCGGAGUUACUGGGCGUAAAGCGCACGCAGGCGGUCUGCUAAGUUUGGAGUGACAGUUGGUGGCUUAACUGCCAAAGUGCUUCGAAAACUGACAGACUUGAGGGCUUCAGAGGGACACGGAAUUCCGGGUGGAGUGGUGAAAUGCGUAGAGAUCCGGAGGAACACCAAAGGCGAAGGCAGUGUCCUGGGGAGUACCUGACGCUCAGGUGCGAAAGCCAGGGGAGCGAACUGG